rnacentral:rRNA from 1 species
GAUGAACGCCGGCGGUGUGCCUAAUACAUGCAAGUCGUACGCACUGGCCCAACUGAUUGAUGGUGCUUGCACCUGAUUGACGAUGGAUCACCAGUGAGUGGCGGACGGGUGAGUAACACGUAGGUAACCUGCCCCGGAGCGGGGGAUAACAUUUGGAAACAGAUGCUAAUACCGCAUAAGCGCACGGAUUCGCAUGAAUCUGUGUGAAAAACUCCGGUGGUAUGAGAUGGACCUGCGUCUGAUUAGCUGGUUGGCGGGGUAACGGCCCACCAAGGCGACGAUCAGUAGCCGACCUGAGGGGGUGACCGGCCACAUUGGGACUGAGACACGGCCCAA